GUGGGGAAUAUUGCGCAAUGGGCGAAAGCCUGACGCAGCGACGCCGCGUGGGGGAUGACGGCCUUCGGGUUGUAAACCUCUUUCAGCUCCGACGAAGCGGAAGUGACGGUAGGAGCAGAAGAAGCACCGGCCAACUACGUGCCAGCAGCCGCGGUAAUACGUAGGGUGCAAGCGUUGUCCGGAAUUAUUGGGCGUAAAGAGCUCGUAGGCGGUUUGUCGCGUCGGCUGUGAAAUCCCGGAGCUCAACUCCGGGCCUGCAGUCGAUACGGGCAGACUUGAGUGUUGCAGGGGAGACUGGAAUUCCUGGUGUAGCGGUGAAAUGCGCAGAUAUCAGGAGGAACACCGGUGGCGAAGGCGGGUCUCUGGGCAACAACUGACGCUGAGGAGCGAAAGCGUGGGGAGCGAACAGGAUUAGAUACCCUGGUAGUCCACGCCGUAAACGUUGGGCGCUAGGUGUGGGGGCCAUUCCACGGUCUCCGUGCCGCAGCUAACGCAUUAAGCGCCCCGCCUGGGGAGUACGGCCGCAAGGC
rnacentral:rRNA from 1 species